GAUAAGGUUAAGUUAAUAAGGGCGCACGGUGGAUGCCUUGGCACUAGAAGCCGAAGAAGGACGUGACUAACGACGAAAUGCUUUGGGGAGCUGUAAGUAAGCGCUGAUCCAGAGAUGUCCGAAUGGGGRAACCCACUAGCUACUGGCUAGUAUCCAU
rnacentral:rRNA from 1 species